AAAGGGAUUUGAUUUUGGGUGAAAACAACCAAUGAACUGAAUUGUAUAAUGUUAAUUGCUGUAUAAUACAGUGUGUCAUCAUUUUUACUAUUGCUGUAUGUCCUAUCAAUGGUAUAACAGUAAGAAUCACCCAGAUUAAGAAGAAUGAAUGUUGAAGAAACUGAGGAAGUGCAGUGGAUGGAACCAGAACUGACUUCAGUAUGCAACAACCCAACACCAGACCCCAUCUCUCCUGCCCUGAAAGACUGUUACAACAGAUGGAGCCCAAAACCAUGGACUAGAUGAACCCAAUGGACAUUUCAGAGGGAUGGCCCAUAGACUAAGGGAAUGAUAUCUGUGUUGUGCAGCAGACAAGAGGA